GCUGAUUUUUUUUUUUUAUUGUUCUUUUAGGUUGGUGAGACGGAGACCAGACUGGAAUGUUUGCUAAAUAAUAACAAAAACUCAGAUUUCUGUGCUCCUCUGACCUCCUUUGACUGGAAUGAAGUAGAUCCUUAUCUUUUAGGUACCUCCAGCAUUGAUACAACUUGUACCAUCUGGGGGCUGGAGACAGGGCAGGUGUUGGGGCGAGUGAAUCUUGUGUCUGGCCAUGUGAAGACCCAACUGAUUGCCCAUGAUAAAGAGGUCUAUGAUAUCGCAUUUAGCCGGGCUGGCGGUGGUAGGGACAUGUUUGCCUCUGUGGGUGCUGAUGGCUCGGUGCGGAUGUUUGACCUCCGCCAUCUAGAACACAGCACCAUCAUUUAUGAAGACCCACAGCAUCACCCACUGCUUCGCCUCUGCUGGAACAAGCAGGACCCUAACUACCUGGCCACUAUGGCCAUGGAUGGAAUGGAGGUGAGCACCCUGUUUCAGGCUAGCAUGGGCCUUGCAGCCUAACUCUGGCACUAAGUAUAUCUAGAACAGUGGUUCUCAACUGGUGGCAGAU